UUUGUUUUCAGAGUCUAAAUGUAUAUGCAUGGUGAAUAUUUAAUAAAGACAUUCAAAUUAUGUUAUUGUGUGUUUGUUCCUGCUCCACAGAUCCAGAUGUGCAGGUAAAGGUGAGCCGACUGUACAUCACCUGGGUAGAGCUGCAGUGUAGCAGCUCGUGCCAUCUAACGGGCAGAAGAUCAAGGAGGAAACAUCUUCCUCUUAUUCAGACUACUUUAACCCUACAGACAGUUAUUCCUGUGCAGUGAGAGGACAUGAGGACUCCCUGCUCCUUCAGUGUUCAGACCUGUAACAGAGUGACGUAUACUGCGAGAAGCAAGAAGAAGUGGACAUUUCCUGCACGUACAGCAGUUAUGAAGACCGUGUUGAAUCUAAAUUCUGGUUCAGACCUGAGCGUAGCCAUCAGGGGCAGAAUCCCUCUCAACCUGAGGACCUCAGUGAAGACUCCCAGUAUGAAGGUCGUGUUCAGAUCACUGAAAGAUGGAGAGAUCUCCACUCUGAGGAUCUCUGACCUGAGAGACUCAGAUUCAGCUCAGUAUCUCUUCACAUUCAAAACAGCAAGCUCUGAAUGGGGGAGGGAUUUACCUGGAACCACUCUGACUGUCACAGCUCUGCAGGUGCAGGUGAUCAGAGCCUCAGUGCAUCAGUUCUCUACCUUUGCAGAGCUGAGGUGUCACAGCAGCUGCAGUCCAGCUGCCGGUCUUUACGUCUGGUUCAAGAACUUUCAGAGAAACAUGACGGAGGAGACUUCUACUUAUGCAGACUACUUUUAUCCCGGAGACAACAUCUCCUGUGGUUUCAAAGGACAUGAGGAUUCCCGCUCUCCUUCGAUCUAUGCUCCAAAGCUCCCCUCUGUGUCAGUGAGUCCCUCUGCUGAGAUAGAGGAGGGCAGUUCAGUGACUCUGACCUGUAGCAGUGAUGCUAACCCAGCAGCUAACUACAUCUGGUACAAGGAGAAUGAAGACUCCUCAAAAGCUUCAGGACAGAUCUUCACCAUCACUGACUUCAGAGCUGAACACAGUGGGAGUUAUUCCUGUGAAGCCCAGAACAAGUUAGGACGUAGUAACUCCACCUUAUAUCUGACUGUUGUGGUGGAGAGGCCUAUCACAACCUCUCUGACCAUGACUGCAGAGGGCAAACAGGAAGUCAAAAUUCAAGUUUACAUACAGACCAUAUGGAAGGUGCAUCGAGAUCACACAUUGGGAAAACACUCGCUUUCGUCCUCUUCAUCAUCAUCCUCAACAUCAUCUGAACAGCAUAGCACAGGUGAGAGGAAGAGCUGAAUUGUCUGUGCACGUGAGGACUAGGUGAGCUUUACUAUCACUAUACUACCUAACACUUCACCGCUAUAAGGAACAUACAGUGUGACCAAUCAGCGGAGCACGCUCAGACAGAGACUGAACAGCAUAGCACAGACCCUGCCGCCCCUCACCUGGCCUCUGGUUGUCCGCAGUGGUUUCUGCUCUGACCGAUCACCUGACCCGUAUCGUUCGUACACGCUGGCAUGCUGAAUUCGCAGAGAUUUGAUUUGAGAAAAGAUUUGAUUCCCACAGAAAUAAAUAAAUGUAAAUAUUGAAGCAAAUC